AAAAAAAUUAAUGAUCUCUGUUGGUUUCAGCCAAACAUUUCAACCCAAACAUUUCAUGCAAAAUAAACAGAUAAAUAAAUAAAUAAUAAAUUUUCUCUUGGAAAAUCAAACUUUCAAGGUGGCACAGGACCAGCAUUUCUGCUUGACAAUGCCUAGAGCUAGGGGGCAGUAUAUCAUUGUGUAUGAUAAAAACCUGACCUCGUGUUAAGCAAGUAAGGAGUUAAACUUUUUUCCUGCAGCCAAAUAUCCAGGGAUUGGAUGUCCAGGGCAGGCUCUGAGGCUGAGCAACGCCAUCAGCCCCCAGGUCCCCUGGCUGGCGACUCUGUUAUGUGUGCUGUUUGUUCCUCAUGAUCUCAAGAUGGCUGCUGCUAAUCCAGCUGUGAUAUCUGUGCUUCAAGAAGAAAAGAGGGAAUCUACGGAGGCAGCACGAUCCUUAGUGGGAAAGAUUGAAAACAAGCACUCUGGACUUGUACUCAGUGAUGAAGUAGCCUUGGCUCCUGCCGGAGGUGGUCACAGUCCAGCAGGGGAGAGAAGACAUAUGUGCCCUGAACUACAGAUGAUGGAGAAGG
rnacentral:lncRNA from 1 species